UAUCGGAAAGUUUCGUGUUACUGCCACUUCAUGUUACGGAAGGUCAACAACAACACGACAUUACAAAUGCAGCGGAUAUGAUAUAAUUAGAAAUAAUUCAGCAGCAACUUCGAAAGUACAGUUUCUAUGGCGCCUCUUUUUUUGUAAGCUAUAAUGAAAAUAAACAGGUAGUCGGUUCUUGUUAU